UUGGCUGUCAUGGAAACAUCUGAGGCUGGGGAGCUGCCGCUCCGAUGCGCACCCAUUGAUUUGUACCUGCUGUUUGGAGGGCACCUGCGUCAGAGGCACCGCUGAGCUCUUCAUCAGCAUUCCAGAACUCAGUCCACUGCACAGUUGCCUGCACUUUCUUCAGGAGGAAGCUUCAUUUCCAGAGGGGAAACGAAAUUUCUAAUCACUGUGCUCACCCUGGAGUGCAGAGGAUAUUUCCAAUCAUCUGAGCCACUGGAGACAUUUGGCAACUUGAAAAGCAAGGCUGGUGCCCUGGGGUGGAUUCCAUAGUCUGUGGAAAGAUAAGCAGAGUCCAGGAUCUGGCUUUUCCAACCUGAACAGUUCUGUGAUUCUAUAAAUUCAUGUGGGACUCAGCUGCUCCUGGCUAACCACAGCUCACUGGAACUUUCAUCAAGGGGUGGUGUUGUUGCAAAAUUUAGUGCCAAAGUCAACACCAGGAUUCAUGAGGUCACUGGAGAUGGAUGGGCACCUACUGAUAGGGAGAUGGUUGUCUAAUCCCAAAGUUUCUUCCCUGGAGCACCUCUGGAUAUGUGACAGCUGCAGAGGGAACAUAUAAUGCAUUACUGUCCAAUGUAAUUUAUAUUUCUGGUAUCAACCAAAAAAACAAAUAUAAGAGUGAGAAACUCUAGAAAUGAACAUUAAUACGCUGUGUGAUUCAGUUCAAUGAUUUAUUAAUAUUCAUAAAUACUUUAAAAAAAAGUCAUCCUUUGUCUUAUA